AUCAUAAACACAGUGAAUGAAACCAGCACACAGAACAUCACCUGCUCACUGACUCCUCCCCCUUUCCCUCAGGGUUCAGGUGUUCUCUCAGGUGAACAAGAUGUCGGCCCAUAACCUGGCUGUGGUCCUGGUCCCGUCCCUGUUCCAGGCCAUGAACCAGGAUUUGAUCACCCUCACUAGAGAGUUCAUCAUCCACCACACCCUGCUCUUCCUCACCCCAGACUCGGCUCAGAGGCAGGAGCAGGAGCAGAUCUCGGUCUUCUGAUGAAGAUCAGCUGGAGCGUGUUUCUUUUAGCUUACUGUGAAUCUUUUGGGAUGUUGAGGAAACUGUUGUUAUUGAAAUCACUGACCAAUCACUAUCUACUUCCUGUUUCCUGUCAGUUGAACUACAGCUAUCAGAGAGAAUGAUUACUGCUGGCUCCCCCUGCUGGCUGCUCUCAGCCUUUGCGGUGGUUGUUAAAUGAAUGUUAAUGUGAGGCUCUGCAGCUGAGCGGGGUGUACCACUGUGUAAGCUGAGUACUCACUUUAUGAUAGUAUUUUUCUGUGGUUUCAAAUGUUAUCUUUAAAUCUGCAAAUAAUUCAUGAACUGAACAAAAAUCUGAACAUUUAAUAAAAUCUGCCUUUAAUUCUU